UACGAAGGGGGCUAGCGUUGCUCGGAAUCACUGGGCGUAAAGCGCACGUAGGCGGCUUUUUAAGUCAGGGGUGAAAUCCUGGAGCUCAACUCCAGAACUGCCUUUGAUACUGGGAAGCUUGAGUCCGGGAGAGGUGAGUGGAACUCCGAGUGUAGAGGUGAAAUUCGUAGAUAUUCGGAAGAACACCAGUGGCGAAGGCGGCUCACUGGCCCGGUACUGACGCUGAGGUGCGAAAGCGUGGGGAGCAAACAGGG
rnacentral:rRNA from 1 species